rnacentral:rRNA from 1 species
CGUGCCAGCAGCCGCGGUAAUACGGAGGAUGCAAGCGUAUUCCGGAUUUAUUGGGUUUAAAGGGUGCGCAGGCGGUGGAACAAGUCAGUGGUGAAAGCCCGGGGCUUAACUUCGGGAUUGCCAUUGAAACUGUUUCACUUGAGUGUAGUUGAGGACGGCGGAAUGAGUUGUGUAGCGGUGAAAUGCAUAGAUAUAACUCAGAACACCAAUUGCGAAGGCAGCUGUCUAGACUACAACUGACGCUGAGGCACGAAAGCGUGGGUAGCGAACAGGAUUAGAUACCCUGGUAGUCCACGCUGUAAACGAUGAUCACUCGUUGUUGGCUACUUAGUAGUCAGUGACUAAGGGAAACCGAUAAGUGAUCCACCUGGGGAGUACGUCGGCAACGAUGAAACUCAAAGGAAUUGACGGGGGCCCGCACAAGCGGAGGAACAUGUGGUUUAAUUCGAUGAUACGCGAGGAACCUUACCUGGGCUUAAAUGCUGGCUGCAUUCACGCGAAAGCGUGAUUUCCUACGGGACCGCCAGCAAGGUGCUGCAUGGUUGUCGUCAGCUCGUGCCGUGAGGUGUCGGGUUAAGUCCCAUAACGAGCGCAACCCCUAUCGUUAGUUGCCAGCAUGUAAUGGUGGGGACUCUAACGAGACUGCCGGUGUAAACCGGAGGAAGGUGGGGAUGACGUCAAAUCAGCACGGCCCUUACGUCCAGGGCUACACACGUGUUACAAUGGCCGGUACAAAGAGCAGCCACCUGGCGACAGGGUGCUAAUCUCUAAAACCGGUCUCAGUUCGGAUCGAAGUCUGCAAUUCGACUUCGGAAGAUGAUUCGCUAGUAAUCGCGC